UACGUAGGGAGCAAGCGUUGUUCGGAUUUACUGGGCGUAAAGGGCGCGUAGGCGGCGCUGUAAGUCACUUGUGAAAUCUCCGGGCUUAACUCGGAACGGCCAAGUGAAACUGUCAAGCUAGAGUGCAGAAGGGGCAAUCGGAAUUCUUGGUGUAGCGGUGAAAUGCGUAGAUAUCAAGAGGAACACCUGAGGUGAAGACGGGUUGCUGGGCUGACACUGACGCUGAGGCGCGAAAGCCAGGGGAGCAAACGGG
rnacentral:rRNA from 1 species